GUCCGUGUAUAGGAUAUUGCCAUUCCUUUCACUGCUGUUGUUGGGACAGUGGGAAGAACAUUUUAGACUGAGAGGAGAUUCAAGUAGGGUCUCAUCUUGACUCUGCCACUAACUUGCUGUUGGCCUUGAGCAAGUCACUUUCUCUUUCCAAGUCUCAAUGUUACCAGAUCUGCAAAGCCCAAGGGCCAUAUCCACUCAAGGACUUCACUCCUGUACUUCUUGGAAGAAGAAUGUUCUAUCAGGCCCUUCCAGCUCUCCUCCCUGUGCCUCCUCCCCAAUCCCCAGUCUCUGAAGCAGUCUGAAGAUGCCAGCCACCUCCUUGAAUCUCAAGAUGGAAAAUCUGGGGCAGCCUGGAGCCCAGUUCAGAUGACCACCUUCUCCCAGGUCAAAGAAGAGCAGUGGGACUUGUUCCCAAGACAACCUGGGCCCACACCGUCAGACCCAAGAAGAAGAACAAAGCUCAGGGGCUUUGCAGGACCUUUCUUCUAACAAGUUCAAGGCAGACAGAGCUGCCUGAAUUACUGACAAGGUCCAAGUUAUCGACUGGGUUCCUACUUCUUACCUGGGGAAACAAGUCAGAUAUCCCCACAACCUUUCUUCCUCUCUGGAGACAAGAUGGUGCAGAGCGUGGGAUGCUGCUGUGAGAUGCAUGUUGCUAUGGCAACAGCUCAAGCCUCUUUGCCACCCUCUCCAAAGUGCUCUGACACAGGCAGUAGUUUCUAUGGUAACAGUGGGAGUGAAGAGUCCAUGAAGA
rnacentral:lncRNA from 1 species